UAUAUGAAUUAAAAAUUCGCAAUCAAGCAUCAAAAAAGUUCUACCAUAAGAAAAUAUUAAAGUACCUAGGUAAUUUGUAUUAAAAUUGGUUCUAUAUUAUGAAAAAAAAUUGAGGAAGUGCUAAGCUUGAUGCGUUUAUCAAAUAAAUAAAUAAAUAAGAUAACGUAUUUUACCCGAACAAUACGAUUAUAAUGGAAAAUAUAUAAGUGUAGGUAUGAAUUAGUUUGGAGGUUUGAAGUAUUCAUUAAAAUUCAGGCAAUUCUUUAUUGCACAAAAGACGUAUCUACUGAAUUUCAAUUAUGAUUCAGCAUUAAUAAUAAUUUCCAGUUUCAUUAUACGUCAUCACCCUAACCAACAUCGUUUCGACAUUCCUGAGUGAUUGGAAAAAAUAUCGACAACCCUCUGGUUUUUACACGGAUACCGUUUACCGUUCAUUCAGGAAUGCGUGUCACCACCAUAGCAAUAUUUGCUAGCAGUCCAAAGUGAUGGUAUUUAAAUAGUUUGAAAUUCGGUUAAAGUGAACCAUAAAGUUCGGUGUCAACUAAAAGUAAAGAAUAGUUGCAGGUGGAAUAGAAAAGUGAGAGGUUUUUCCAUAGGUGUUUUAUUUCGUUUUACAUUGAGGAAAUGAGAAAAUUCAUACUUUCUCGAUAAUAAUAAUAAAAAAAAAAAAAUGUAUAGUUAUUUAUUAAUCAAAUUUAUGGAAAUUGUGAAUAAAAUAAUUAUUAUAAAUAGGUGUCCAAUAAUAUAUGAGGCAUAUAAUAUGUAUAUAAUAUGACCGUUGACAAAAGAACUCUGCGAAUUAUUGAAGAACAUAAUAUGCGUUAAAUCAUAUGUUGGAAAUCAUGAGAAAUAGGUUUGAACUGUCCAAACAUUUCGUGUGGUUGACCUCCAUCACCCACCAUACUAACACACAACGUGUCGGGAGACGGACGUGUCUUAAAACCACAACUAUAAUGUCAAACUUGCAAGCAAACACUGUCACGACCAUAUAGAGAAUCUGUUGGCGCAGUACACGAAUACUUAAGAUUUUCAAACAUUUUUUGGUCGUCCAUUGUUUGCAACUAUAGUACACUAAACAAAUAUUAUUAAUGCUACAACAAAAGUGUUCGUCAUUUUAACUUUUGUUUUUCGAGAAAAUAGAAUUAAAAUAUUUUUGAUUUAUAACACAACAGUGUAUUUCAAAAGUAGAAUAUAUGCGUUCAACAUCAUUUAACGAAAUACAAUUCCGUUGUUUAAAAUAUGGUGUAGUCAUCAAGUAGAUAGACAUUUUACCAUCGUACGUUCUACAAACACAUUAAAAUGUAUUUAAGUGUAUUAAAAUGAGUAGAAAUCAUUUUGAAUACGUGAAAUGUGAGCAAUUUUUAAGAUCUCAGGUGUAAUGUAAGCCUCUCGAGUAAAGUAAAUUCCGUACAUUUAACUUAUAGAACUCGAUCUAAGUUUCUCAGAAAUGUUUAAAUACUUUAAAUUUCAAAAUAUAAACUAACAAAUAAAUGCAUAUAAAUAUUAUAUUAUUUUUCUAGAACUUACAAUAUAAUUAUAUUGUGAUAACAACUGACACUUAGCAGUUAUCAACCGACUUGUUUUAAAUGCCCAAUGCGUCAAAUUCCGUGUUUAUGAUGUUAAAAAUAAAAAUAAUAAACAAUGUAUAUCUGCAUCAUUUUCAAACUAAUGUGGAAGAAUGAAUUUGUGGCUCAAUCAUCUCAAUAAGUCAUAUUUUUCAAAUAUCAUGUAUUAAUAAUAAAAUAGUGAUGUAGAAUGCAUAGUUACAUUACACAAUAUAAAUAUAUCUAUAUAGUAUUUAUUAUUUGGUUAAUAUGCAUUCAUCAUACAUACGAAACAAAAACCCAAGAAACAAUACUAUCCAUUUUAUUUCAUACAGGUCGUAUAUGUCAGAUAAUAAAUAAAACAAAAUGCAUUUUACAACAAUGAGCGAAGUACACAAGGAAUGUUUACGUCUUUGAACUUGGUCUAACUACCUAACUUAACUUAGUCUUUCCUUUCAAAAAAAAAAUAAAUAAAUAAAUAAAAUAAUGUUAAAAUAUAAUAUUAUAUGAACUGUUUAUCUUUCAUUGUUAACGCGUUGUUUAAACUACUUAAUACGUCGAGGGUUCAAUCUUAAGUAACUAAGAAACAAAUUUUCUUAUUGAAACUCAAUGCAAUGAUUAUGAACCGAAACGGUAUAUCAACAGUAACAGAGUAGGUACACACAGUUCUUCACUUCAAAAGAAAACCUAUCAAGGAGCGUUUCUAUUUUAUUUUAUCAGGCAUGAAUAUUAACGAUUCUAUUCAAACUUAAAACCAAAACGGAUCAGCGAUACUGAGUAAGACGUGGUUUAGAAGACUUCUACCAGUCAAGAGUAAAGUGCUGAAAGUGAGAACUAUGGUCAAUUCUUCACAAAAAUAUUAUAAGUUAUAAUGAAUGGUUGUAUAGUUUUGAUAGACAUUAUUUAAAGAAUCUAUAAUAAUUAAGCUCACGUACAUUUUGCAUCAAUUGGUCUACAAAUUUAAAUAGUCCAUUGCAUAAAGUAAAAUAUAUCCAGUCAUCUUCAUAUUCAGUCCGAAUUUUUACGCGUUUAAUCGAAAAUAACGAAUAAGAUUGGCACGAAACAGUAUUGUUUUAUCGUCUUUAACCAUCCCCAUAAUCACAUAUUCUAUCCUAAACGCGUACAACUUGCUGUACCAUUCUAACCUCAGAUUUUUUAUGUACCUACUACAUACUGCAGCAUCCGGACUAUAAUUUAAACUCCUCCGAGAAUGAACGAAACGUAUUAAUGAGAACAUAAAUCACAACCGUUUCCUGGCGCGUUCGUCUUCGUAAAUCAGAUGUAGUAAUCAUUCGCGCAGCUCUAAUAAAUGGCCAUAGGUCCGCACAUUUAGAAACGUCUGGGAAAAACGUGGUGAGGUCGUUCCAUUAUGGAUUUUCAACGACGAUUACUACAAUUUUAUUUUGAGCUAUGAACAGGAUUUUAAUUGAUAAUUUAUAAUUUUUUUUACGGGACGAUCUUUUUUAACAAUUUAUACGAAAUUUCAUAUAAAAUUGUUAAACUAUUUAACUGGGCGAAAACAUGUUUUAAAGACAUUUAAAGAAAAAAAAAUUAAGAUGAUGUAAGCGAAGGCGGUCAAACUGAAGUUAUUAAACAAAUCCAAUUUUCUGCCAAAAUCAUCCAUGAAAAGUUGAUGAACACAAACUAAAGCUAUACAAAUAUUGUAACAUGUAUAUUGAUGUUGGACAAUGAACGUCGAUUUGAAAGUAAUAGAUUAACAAUGAUUUAUGACACUAAAAGUUAUUUCUAUUAUAAUUAGCCCAUAAAAAUUGACGUUAUUUCAAGACUGCCAGGCCAUAUUAUACGAUUUACAACUCUUUUUGAGCUUAUCAAAAAUUAUAUAUUUCUUGAUAAAUUAUAUAUUUAAGUUUUGUUAUUUACGCAGUAUUUUUUAUAAUAUGUAUAUAGGAUUUACCUAUAAAAAUUACAUAGAGAAUCCUGUGUAAAUAACAACAAUUAUAUACAUAUAUAUAUAUAUAUAUAGGUACUUAUAAUUUUCAUUUGAGAAUCAAAGAUAUUGUUGGUAAAAGUUAUUGAACAAUUCAUAUUAUGUCUAUGUGAUUUCUAUCGAUUGAUUGAAAUAUGAUGCGCUAUACUAUUUAAAUAGGUAGUACGUAUAAAAUAGUCAUAUUUAAUACGAACUGGACCUUUAAGAAAUUCGACUUAUCCAACGGAUGUAAGGUAAACACGGGUCUAAAGUAUUGUUAUUUCCGACAAAUUAGAAUUAAGACUAGAGCUUGCAACACAUAAAAGCUAUGGGACAUAAAUUAUUCCACAGACUAUACUAACGGUAACAUUUUAACCACAAUCCGAUUACAAAGAUUAUAUAGUCCGGAAAUGCCAGUUAUCUUUCCUUGAAUCAACAACAAACUACAUUAUCAAUAUGCAAACAUCAUAAAUGAUACAAAGACGAUAAUAUAACGGAACGACAAGAUUAUCAUAAUAGAAAACAUCAUUAAAAUUGUUAGUUUCGGACGUAACUAAAAUCGUUACGAGUUUCGUUUAAUCGGCAUUCUGCGUUUUCACGGAGUUUAUAAACAAUAACGUUGGGAAAAAUUGCUCUGCUGUUGUAAUGAUAAAUCCGUCUAAAGCAUAAAAUCACACGCGAGCCAGUAAUACGUUUGUUUUAAACGGAUUUCCGUUUUAUUCGGCAAGUCAGAAAAUGCUCGCCGUUAACAAACGCUAUACAAUUCUGUCGUACAUUUUAUUAUCAUUCCUAUGUGAAACCGAUUUAAACGUUACAUGUUAAACAGUUUUAAAUUUAAAUCGUUUACAUUAAACGAUUGAAUUUUCGUUUGUCAAUUUGCAAUUCGCACUGAAUUAUAAUUGUUAAAUUAAAUUGUUUCUUACUAUUCACAAAAACGGUUUAACUGUAAUACAUUGUGCAAAUAAGAAAGAUAUUCAUAUUAAAAUGACUAUAAUCCACAAGAGUUAAUUAAAUUUCCUAAUGGACUAUCUCUCACAAAAAAAUGUC